UCUCCCCCUGCCUCUCUCGCUGUGGGUCUGUGGGUGAUCACCAAUGCAAUGUCACAUUUCUGCAAAAUCCUCAAAAGGAGGCAAAAGCAAGUGUCAUUGGCCAGGUUCCUUGUUCAAGUUGCACUAAAAGGAAAACAGUCCACUGAGCGAUAGAUAGCAGUGGUUCCAUUAGUGAUAGUGAAAGUCGCGCUACACAAUAACCCUCUUCUCUCGUCUCCCUCAUACCAGCCACGAAGGCUUUCAAAGGUGUUUGGGAUAUGGAGAUGAAGAAGACUCUAAUGUGUGUGGAAGAAAGAAGAGUGAGCAAACCAUCCUCUGUCUCCUCCAGCUCAAGGUUCCAUUUUGCACACCAAGAAGGCAAGGCUCACGGUUUAGGAAUCUUUUCCAAGAUGAUGAAGCAAUGGAGGUGGGAGGGUGGCCAAGAUAUAGGCUUCUGAAGGAUUUGUGCACCAGCACCCCGAUCUUUCUACUGCUCGAGUGAAAGAAAAAAGAAAUUGUUCACUGAAGUUUUUCUGUUGAGAAGACUUUGUUAUUCUGUGUCUCUGGAAUAAAAAAAGUAAGACCUCGUUCUGUUUCUCCAUUCCCCGGUGUCUUCCUCUUUGGAAAUCAAAGC